ensembl:lncRNA
AUGUGGGAUCGGUUGGAUUGUGGGAUUUCUGGCCCGGCCCCAGGCCUCCUCGGAAGGCGAGCCUCUCGCGAAGGCCUCUCUUGCAUCAGCCUCUCCUUGCCUGCCUGCCUGCCUGCCUUCCGCCGCCUGGGCCCAGGAGCUGCGAUCGACCCGCUUCUCCGGAUUGCACCCCAGGAGAGCCCUCUUUCUCCCCCGGAGCCCGUCUUCCCAGCCAGCUACAGAACUGUGAUAAGAUCUGAAGAUGCUCACACCUCCACAGGCAUUAUUUGUUAUAAUGCUGCUGGUUAUUUCAAGUGCCGUGAAAGCUCAAGUCAAUCCAGGUAAGGCAUGAAAGUGUUGCUCUUGUCAGAUCCAGAGAAUAACUAUAUUAUGUAGAGCUUUUUACUUUAUUAUAAGUUUUAAAGCCCAUAAACUCUAAAGCAAAAAGCCCCAAUAUGACCCACCCCAAUCCACGCCCCCCCCCCCCCCAAAUACAGAACUAGAAUACAAAUGAAGAAGAACAUUGGAAACACAAUGGACUUCCUCUCAUAAGGCAAAGGCAACUAUCACACUCUUACACAUACUUCUAGUACUAUUUGGUUGCGUUCAAACGGCGGCUAAACAUAAACCACUAUAUUUAACAUUAAUACCCAACCACAAGUAACUCAUAUUAACAAUUGAUCCAUUUUCAUUAAAAUUUCAAAUCUUAUAAAUAUUAGUAAAUUCAUCUUUAAAUGAUUACCUUAACCCCCAAUUUUUCCCAUUUAAAUGAAAUUAAUCAUAUCUUAUCCUGUAUUACCACCAAUGUUACCCUUUUGAUCAAACUUGAUCUUAUUGUAUUCCAACAUUUUAACAUAAUGUCUUAUUAUUUAACUUUAAUUCUCAUUCAGUUUCAUUACUCCACCUGUCUCAAAUGAUAUUAAUAUAGUUUAAAUGUUUUGUUCCCCCCCCCAUUUUUUUCCUUUUAAUCUAAAUGGAUUCCACAUUUCUUAAAUGCAGUAUCUUACUGUAUUUCCCUUUCGUUUUAAAUGUGCAUAGAUAAUACAAGCAGCUUAAGCAUUUUGUCUAAAGUUUAAUUUUUGUAAUUUCCUAUUAUAUAUUUCCUUUCCAUUAUAUUUAUUUCAUCAAUCCACCCCCUACAACACUCAAAAGAACCCGUUAAUUCAUUUUAGCCCUUCCAGGAUUCUCGAUGUGUUUUUCCUAGUCCAGUCUCAGUGCUUUUAUUACAAGCCAAGCCCUACUUCAGGUAACAAUUUGCCCAUUUAAUUUUUAUGUGCUUCUCUCAUCGAAAAGAGCGCUCCAGGCAGCCUUUCAGAAUUUCUCUGUGCAAAUUCUCUUUCUUGUAAACUUGAGCAUCUUCCUGUAAUUUUGCAUAUGAUGCUUUGUUUAUCCUUAUUCUGAAGGUGAAUUUGUAGCCACUUGUCUGUGGGAGAUAGGGAAGGUUAUAAAUAACUAGCUGUGCCCAGCUACACGUUGCUGUGGCUUAUGGGAAUCCUUUGUUGGCCAGGUGGAAUAGCAGUGAACGGCUCUUCUUCAUUCCCCCCCACCCCCACUUUCUAAUUGGAUGCCUAUGUUUUUUUGUGUGUGUGAGGAGGGAGGGAAGCCCCUCCAAGAAGAACAGCCCUGACAGCUGGCUCUCUCUCUACCUGCUCUUCUCCAAGAAAGUGUGGGGCUCCCCUGUAAACACAGCCCCCCCCACCCCCCCCCCCCCGGGCAAGUGCAGAGAAUGAAGGGAAAAGAUGGGAGCAUACCAUUCUGGCCAAAAAGGGGGGGGGGGGGGGAAGUGAAAAAUAGAUAUUGGCCAAUCAGUUUUGGGGGGGUGAGUGAAGGACAUACCUUGGAUGUGUUGGUGUAUUUUGGCCAAAUUUGGUGGCAUUUGGUCCAGUGGUUUUGUUGUUAACGCGGUCCUAAUUACAUUACAUAUUUUUAUAUAUAGAAGUAUUAUUAUUAUUACAUAAUUUGUUUUUGGAGCCUGGCUAUUCAAACAUUGACUCUUCUUUAUGCAGUUUCAAUUCAUCUGGUAAUCCUUGAUCAAUCUGGUAUUCAUCUGGUAAUCUUUGAUCAAACUGGUAUUAUUUAUCUGGUAAUCCCUGGUAUGCUACUUCUUGUUUUCUUCUUGUUUUUUUGAAGUUUGUUUUGUGGCUAUUAAAACUUACUUAGCUUCAGAUAGUAUAUUUUAAUGCUCUGCUUAAGACUUGUCUCUGUUUGAAAAAGUUUAUUUUAAAAUCCAGUAAGUUCUCCAAAACCUCAAGCUGUGACAUAUUGGGUCAGCAGAAACAAAAUCCAAAACUAGAAAGGGUUAUUCUUGUACUAUGUGUUUUGUUUAUGCAUUUUAUAGUGGUUUGUUUGA